rnacentral:rRNA from 1 species
GUCUAUAGCCAUGCCACCCUGAACAAGCCCGAUCCCAUCUAAUCUCGGAAGCUAAGCGGCCUGGUUAGUACUUGGAUGGGAGAUCACCUAGGAAGACCAAGUGCUAUAGGCG